AACGCUGCUGCUAGGGCAUAUGAUCGAGCUGCUAUUAAGUUCCGGGGUGUUGAUGCAGACAUCAAUUUUAAUCUCAGUGAUUAUGAUGAAGAUCUGAAACAAAUGAGGAACCUGACCAAGGAAGAAUUUGUGCACAUACUUUGCCGCCAGAGCACCGGAUUCUCUAGGGGAGCUCAAAAUACAGAGGCGUGACAC